rnacentral:lncRNA from 1 species
CAGAAUGUCAUCAAGGCUUUUCUAAAAGGUCUAACCUAGUAAGACACAAGAAAGUUCACUCAGAAAAACCUUUCCACUGUGUAAGAUGCAUGAAACACUUUAAAGAGAAAGAGAGUUUAAUAUUACAUGUAGAGAGAUGUUACCAGACUGACCAAGUGGUCAACUCUCAUCACUAUGAAGGUGAAAGUUGCCAGGAUUUGCACCAUGACUUGAGCUUGUCUUGCCAACCAACAGUGGAGAUGUGUGUUUCUGAAGGAGUGAAAAAGGAAACUAAUUAUGAUCCACUCUCAGUCAUUUGUGAGACAGAAGCUUCACCAGGGCCUGAGAUAAUUGACCAAUCUUCUUUAAAGAUGGAGUGCCUGGAAGAACUAGAAUUUGUUAAGGAAGAAUUCUGAAACUGUUAUUGAUAGUCAUGGUAGACUCAACUUAUGUACAUUUAUGAAAAAAAUGUCGAGGUGUAAUUAAAAUAGAUAAAAUACAAGAUAAAUUGAAAUUCCAAGCUUGUCUUGUGGUUACAUUUGUAGGCUUUUCACUUUUUUUUUAAACCUAGUGUGUGUUUCCAUUUUUUUUAUGGAAGAGGGAAACAAAAGUAACUGCAAUAAUCUUAUAUAGCAAGGGAAAAAAAGCAAUAUGAAGUCCAUACUGUACAUCAAAAACUAUUUCCUACCAUAUGCCACACACUGUUGCCACACACUGGUCUUGAAGCUGGCUCAUACAGCAGUUACCUGUGGCUUUGUCACACACUUUAUGAUAAUGAUGAAUAGCACAAUGGCCGCUUUCCCAUUAUUUCACCCUUUUAAUUAGAGGACAUCAUGUGUGGACAAAAGGCCUUUAAGUAGAACCGAGAGUGAAUGAGCCAAGAGAUAUUGGGAGACAAUAACACUGGAUGUGAUCUUCAUCACCAUUUACAGCCAUUAUCCACGUUGUGGGGGUUGGCUACUUGAGGUGUUGCAGUCUGUCUCGUCGCGUACAGUACUUAUCCCUCGGUUCAUAUUCACAGCCUCUCGAAUUGUCACUUGUUCUUUCCUUAGUUCUCCUCUUAACAUGCUUUUGUAUCUCUUGAUCCAGUUGGUCUUCUUCCUCCUCGCCACAUGUCUGAACCGUUGUGGAAUGCAGUGCGGUGAUAUCUCCGUUAGCCGUGACAAUUGGUGCAGAUUUCCGGGAAUGAGAGAUUUCCGGGUAACGAGACGACUCUCUCAGAGCCGGAAGAAAUCCCUCGUCUCCGGAAUUUUCUGGAUAAUGGAAAAAUGUUCUCGGAACUUUCAGAAAUUGCACAUUACAUCAUCUCUCGUACCCGAGAAAAUAUCUCCAAUCCCUGGAAUUUUCUGGGUACUGGGAAAUUGUUCUCAGAAUUUUCCAGAAAAUGUGGCCCUCGGAAAGUCAUUCCCAAAGCCGGAAAAUUCCAGACUUGGAAAUGAUUUUCCGAGAAAACUUAAAUUCCGGCCAUCGGAGAGUUCUGGGCUCGAGGGAUUCCGCCUGGCGGAGAUAUUACUGCGUACAACCUUGGCAAUACUUUCAGUGCACAUCCACCCUCUAUAAGGAGCAGGGUUGUGUCUGUCACAUUACACAACUAUGUGGGACCCACCAGUGAGAGGUACAGGUGUGCCAUCAACACAGUGGUAUCUGAACAUUUAAACAAACAGAACCCGUAAUAUCAAAUAGAAUAAGAAAUUACAAAUAUCAUACAGACUAAAUGGGAUUAGAGAAAAAGAACAAUUGUACAGUUGGGGACUUUUCCAACUGUUACAGCCUGCGUUGUCAAUCCAUGAAGUGUGAACCCCGAGAGUAUCGACUCGUGAAUCCGAAGCAUUCAGGAGUGAAGGGGGGAGAGGUGGUUGAGGAGGGUGUUAUGGGUUAGAGGGAUGGGAAAUGUUUAAGAUGUUACUUGUACAGUUACAAGGUAGAACAGUUACAAGGUAGAACAGUUACAAGGUAGAACAGUUACAAGGUAGUACAGUUACAAGGUAGAACAGUUACAAGGUAGUACAGUUACAAGAUAGAACAGUUACAAGGUAGAACAGUACUGUACAUAUUAAGAAGGACAUAAACACGUAGGACAAAGCAUAAAUUAUGCUUGAAUGUUUUACUGCACAUUAGGGUGGUGUUGCCAACUUGUGCUACAGAUCUGAGCACAUUUAUUUAGUGUUAUUUUGUUAUGCAUCUCUCAUGUAGUGUAGGAGGACAGGCUCAAAAAUGUGUUCUUUUAUGACAGGGUGACUUUGAUGACCCAAUACAUAACACAUGUAUUUGAGCAACAAUAAUGCUUUAUAUGGUUUCUUGUUUACAUAUCCUCUCAUUGAUUCAUGUAGGAUGGGGGUUUAUACUGUACACUUAACUAGCAUGUGAACCAGCCGGGUCAAACAUGGGGGGUUUGUGUCUGUCUCUGAUGAUAAUAGUGAUUAUCCUAACAUUAUAUUUACACUUACCAAAUAUAAUGAAAGAAUAUUCUAGUCUUCACUGAUAUUAAGGCCAUGUAAAUUUAGGAGUAGCAAUAAGUAUUUAGGUGGUGGUCUGCCCUCCCAAACACACACACCCUCACCUUGACAAUACAGCUGUUGAGUUUGUAUUCUUAAACUUUAGUAUCAGGUGGUAGCACAAUUUUAGAUAUGGGUAAUGACAAAAAUGUAAAGAGCAGUACUUGUAGAAAUUGUGAGGGAACUGCUGACUGUUUCAUUACUUAAUACUUGUUUGCCACUUAUUGGUUCAUCACAGGAGCCCAUACUCCUGACACUAAGGUUUAACAAUACCACCGUUGGAAAAGAUGGUGGCUGCAUGUAGUAGUAAUUUAGACUAGGGAUUGAAGCUGUAAAUUAUGUGUAUAAAUACAAACUUACAAUUGAAAUAA